CCACUUCCUUGCUUCAACACUCCCUAUGACAGCCUCACACAGGGGACACUCAGUCUCUGCCUGAACUCUUCCAUGAUACAAGAUUGCCCCAAACCAGAGGCCCUUCCACUGAAUCUGCUUUCUGAGUCCCCAUCCCCCAACUUUGCCUCUGCCUCUUCUGAUAGCGUACUGUUCAUUCUGUUUUGCAGGCCUGCCUAUCUAUCAGCAACCCCCAGUAUAGUGUAAGAUUUUCAAGGACAAGAUCUACAGAAACCCACUACACAGGAAACACUGCUUUGCCGAGCACAGGCCUGACGCAUGUGGGCUGAACUGAAUACAGCACCCACACUGGAACUACGGAAAUGACGUUAGACAAAAAGCAAAUUCAAGCAAUUUUCUUAUUUGAGUUCAAAACGGGUUGUAAAGCAGUGAAGACAACUCGCAACAUCAACAAUGCAUUUGGCAAUGCAUUUGGUGGUUCAGGAAGUUUUGCAAAGGACACGAG
rnacentral:lncRNA from 1 species